rnacentral:lncRNA from 1 species
GGAGGGAUAUCCCUUUUGGCAUUGGUUGUUGAAAAGGAGGUGACUCUCUUUGGCAUCGGUUGUUGAAAAGAGAGUAUUAUUCUCUUUGGCAAAUAGUUGUAGAAAAGAGAAUGUUGUUAGAGUGUUGAAUCUUCCUUAGUGAGGGGGAUAAAUGCUUGUGUGAUAGGGGAACAGGUCUGAAGCCAAAUGAAGGAUUACUCGAGUGUAUCUGUAUCGAGAAGCUAUAGAUUGGGCUGCAGAAGCGGCUACAGUCGGUAAGGUAGGGUACAAGAGUGUGAUUGAGUCUUGUCAUGAUGGAGUUUAUGGUUUAGUGAUGCUUGUUAAUGAUAAUUGGUAAACCCAAUAUCGUUCUUCCCAAAGGACUCUUAGGCCUUACUUUUCAUGUAAAAAAAUUGCGUAAGACUUGAGAAAAGAAUUAAGUUGGUGUUUGUAUGCAAAGAACAAAAAUAAACAUGCAAAUGCAGUGAUUCAAUUAGCUUUGAAAAACUAUGGAUGAAUGGUGUUGUUGGGGUUUACAAUUCCAUCUUAUCCGCUCUCACAUAUCUACUCUUCUUAUUUACUUCACUUAUUUAUCCAAUUGCCAUGCAACCUUUCUAGCCUACCCUUAACCCAAUCCCUUAGUGAAAAGAGCCUACUAUUAAUUACCGACUUGCUAUCCCUAGCCUCCCCUGGUAACUAAUAAUGCAAUGCGAACAGAAGCAAAAUACAAUUGAUCGUCCUACCCCUAUCCCUAGGUGGUAUUAGCAUAAUCAAGGAAUUUCUCACCAGUUCAUGACAUUACCGUACGUCCCCGUAUCAAUAAAGACAAACAACUUUUACUGAAUGAGUUAAACAAUAAAAGCAUUAAGCAUAGAUGAGAACCCAACAAUUGAUAAGCAAAUAUAUGACAAGCAUAUGAAAUAAAUAAGAAUUUGAAUAUAUGAGAGUUUCAAAAGAUUACAUUGUUCCCC